rnacentral:lncRNA from 1 species
UUCAAAUAACCUCCAAUUGAGUCAGCCGAAUAGCCAACGCACGCGCCUCGGUCAACCACUGACACGGCCCAGCGCCCCGACACUGGGAUUUAUACUAAGUUGAGCGCCCUGGCACUGUAGGUCGAAAUAAUUACUGUUUGCCAUUAAAACCUUGAACUUCCCAGAAAUAACCCCUAUAGCUCCCAAAUCUGCAAAACAAAACAUAAACACAGUAAAAGUGCUACUGAAAGCCUCGAGAAUACACAAAUUUAAGCUCAAG